GCGAGCAUGGUGUAGUGGUUUGAGUGUCGAACUACAACUCUGGAGACCAGGGUUCGAUUCCCAGCUCAGCCA